UGGGGAAUAUUGCACAAUGGGGGAAACCCUGAUGCAGCAACGCCGCGUGAGUGAUGACGGCCUUCGGGUUGUAAAGCUCUGUCUUCAGGGACGAUAAUGACGGUACCUGAGGAGGAAGCCACGGCUAACUACGUGCCAGCAGCCGCGGUAAUACGUAGGCAGCAAGCGUUGUUCGGAGUUACUGGGCGUAAAGAGUGCGUAGGCGGUUUUCUAAGUUCGGUGUGAAAUCUCCCGGCUUAACUGGGAGGGUGCGCCGAAGACUGGGAGGCUGGAGUGUGGGAAAGGCAGGCGGAAUUCCUGGUGUAGCGGUGAAAUGCGUAGAUAUCAGGAGGAACACCGGCGGUGUAGACGGCUUGCUAGACCAUAACUGACGCUGAGGCACGAAAGCGUGGGUAGCAAACA
rnacentral:rRNA from 1 species